rnacentral:tRNA from 1 species
GUCCUCAUAGCUCAAUUGGAAGAGCAACGACCUUCUAAGUCGUGGGUUGUGGGUUCGAAUCCCUCUGGGGAUG